ACUCCUACGGGAGGCAGCAGUGGGGAAUAUUGCACAAUGGGGGAAACCCUGAUGCAGCCAUGCCGCGUGUGUGAAGAAGGCCUUCGGUUGUAAGCACUUUCAGUAGGGAGGAAGGUAGUGUAGUUAACACCUGCAUUAUUUGACGUUACCUACAGAAGAAGCACCGGCUAACUCCGUGCCAGCAGCCGCGGUAAUACGGAGGGUGCGAGCGUUAAUCGGAAUUACUGGGCGUAAAGCGCAUGCAGGCGGCCUGUUAAGUCAGAUGUGAAAGCCCGGGGCUUAACCUCGGAAUUGCAUUUGAAACUGGCAGGCUAGAGUCUUGUAGAGGGGGUAGGAAUUUC
rnacentral:rRNA from 1 species